AGGGGUGCGGGAGGAAGGCAGGGGCUGGAGGGGCUGUAUGAGGAGCUGGGGGCCCCCAUCCUGGCCGUGACAUAUGGCUGGUUCUGAUGCUUUGUUCUGUCUGCAGGGAAGAAGGAGAAGGGCUACAAUGUGGCACCAGGGAGCAACCCCAGUGUCUAACCGCUCUACUUCAGCCCCUGAGGUACCAGAAGACCCCCUGUGCACUAUGUGCUGCAGCUGGAUAUGGACCCGUUCCAUCAACCUCUCGCAUCUCCAAUCAGCUACCUCAAGAGCAAAGCCAGAGCACAAUUGGCUAUGCACACCUUCAAACAAAGGAAACAGUCCAAUGAUUUGCUCAUUUCUAUAAAGUGUGCCUAGUAUCUGAUAUGGAGUUGUGGGUGGGAGCGGGUGCGCAAGGUGCUCCUAUCCUGGCCUGGUGGGUCAGGUUUGCCCAGAGAAGCUGCAUGGGGAAUUUGAGGAGGCAUCGAUGGAAACUGGGAGCUGCAUGCAGAAAGAGCUCAGCACAGUGAGCCUAUGUGUCAGUACAGGAGGUUCCUCUUCUCUCUGGGUGAAUUCAUUGUUUGCCAGGACUGGUCACGAGAAAGAGAACCACAAAGGGGCUGGGGUUGGAUGGGAGCCACAAGGAUCACUGGGUCCAAAUCCUGGGUCCUCAAAGGAAAACCCAAAAAAUCAGACCCUGUGUCUGAGAGUGUUUGCCAACUGCUUGAACUCUGGUAGGCACGAUGCUGUGAUAUGUCCCCUGUGGAGCGUGUUCCAGUGCCUGACCACCCUGUCAGUGAAGAACCUUUUUGUGAUAUCAAUCCUGAACCAUCCCGGUUGCAGCUUCAAGCCAUCUCCUCAGGUAGCCCCAUUACCAGUGCAGCUGGAAGGCAUGCCCCGCUGCUGUAAGCCUGUGCCUUGGUGAUGGUGGUUCUGCAGAGAGCUGACAAAGAACGGAGGCUGGUUAAGAAGACAGGAUGGAUGAAGAGUUAGGGAAGAAAGCAAGGCAGGUACUCUGGCUUCAAGAACUGACCCAGUAACUGUGCACAGACCAAGGUAAGAAAUAGGAAGCAUUGCCUUGGGGGUCAGGCAAGACUUUUGUGUGAAGUGAGUGUGGAGCCCUGAUCCAUGGUCCCAUAGGUCCACGAGGGGCACAGCCGGAGUUGGUUGAAGCAAGAGUAGAAGUGAGAAAGGAAGAGUCUCAGGGAAAUCUGGAGUAUGGAGCUCCCUUACACAGUAAAGAGCUCAGCAGUACACCGGGGAAUCUGGUUAACCCGUUAGUUAAGCCGGAAGCCCGGUCCCCGCACCGCCCGCAGUGCUUUCACUUUCGCUUCUGGCAACCUGCGGUACCGAGAUCUACCCGGCGCCCGGUGACGUCACGAGAAUACCGGUUACUCAUUGGUAGACGCGCAGGGGAGCCCCCAAUUGUGUCGCGGGGCGGAGCUGGAGACGCGGGAUGCCUUUGAGCUCCGGAGGCAGCUCGGGGCUCAG
rnacentral:lncRNA from 1 species